AGUCCAACCACAGCAGUAAAUGCAGAAAAAAUUGCUGUGAACAAACUAUCACUGGUGUAAUCUGAGGCAAAAGAUUUGUCAAAAGAAAUCAGACAGGUGGGAAAAUCCUGGAGUCUCAAUGUGUUACUUUAAGAUCAAUAGGUAAGACCUAUUUUUCUUUCCAAAGGUGGCCGAGACCUUUCUGUGUUGGCAUUUCUACUGUCACAACUGUUAACUGUGGCCAGAUUUAGUUUGCCCUGAGGGCUCUGGUGUUCACAGUUCUUCAGUAUCCACUUUAUUCACGCUGGUUGCCUCAUCAAGAGAAGAUCAAAGUUUGCCUCUGAAGUCAGCCUGAGUGCAAAGAAACUUAAGGACCCUGGGUGCCUGAAGAAAUAGCAGCAUGGGUCUGCAGAGGAGUGGUCCCAAAGUAGCAGUACAGCAGGUACUGUGAAUAAUUUCUCUCAGUUUGUGUGAACCAUUUGCCACUGCCUCAUAAACCACCAUGUGCAGAGUUUGCCAGCUGAAAUAAAGAAUCACAGAAUGGUUUGGGUUGAAGGAACCUGUGGCUGCUGUUGGAAUGAUCUCUGGAGAUCAUCUAGUCCAACCUCCCUUCUAAAACAUGUUUAUCCAAAGCAGGCUGCACUGGAUUGACUUCAGGUAAGUUUUGAAUAUCUCCAGAGAAGGUGACUCCACAACCUCUCUGGGCAGCCUGUUCUCUGUGUUCUCUGUCUCCCUUCACAGAACAGUGUAUUAUCACAGUAAUGAUAUUUUGCCUCAUAUUUAGAUGGAACAACUGGCAUUUCGUAUUGUGUCUGUUGCCUGUGCCUUGUUCUGUCACUGGGCACCACUGAAAAGAGUCUGUCCCCAUCCUCUUAAUACCUUCCCUUAAGAUACCUGGACGCAAUGGUAAGAUCCCCUCCCAGCCAUCUCUUCUCCAGGCUGAAGAGGCCCAGCUCCCUCAGCCUUUCCUCAUAAGAGAGCUCUUUUAUCAUCUUCA